rnacentral:rRNA from 1 species
AGUGAACGCUGGCGGUAGGCCUAAUACAUGCAAGUCGAGCGAACGCACAGUAAGAGCUCGCCCCUACGGGUGGCGACUGACGGACGGGUAAGGCAUACAUAGGCUACCUAUUAUACGUGGAGGACAUCGUGGGGCCACUUAUGCUACUACAGCAUACGAUCUACGGGUUGAUGCAGGAGAUCAUGGCAGUUUUCGUGUCAGAAUGAGACGAUGUCGGAUUAGCUAGUUGGCGAGGUAAGGGCACACCAAGGCAACGAUACGUAGCUGGUCUGAGAGGAUGAUCAGCCACACUGGAACUGAGACACGGUCCAGACUCCUACGGGAGGCAGCAGUAGGGAAUAUUCGACAAUGGGCGCAAGCCUGAUCGAGCAAUACCGCGUGAGUGAUGAAGGUCUUCGGAUUGUAAAACUCUUUUAUUAGGAAAGAAAAGCUGCGUAUGUAACUCCCGCUGUUCUGACGGUACCCAAACAGAAAGCACCGGCUAACUUCGUG